AUUGAACGCUGGCGGCAUGCCUUACACAUGCAAGUCGAACGGUAACAGGUCUUCGGAUGCUGACGAGUGGCGAACGGGUGAGUAAUACAUCGGAACGUGCCUAGUAGUGGGGGAUAACUACUCGAAAGAGUGGCUAAUACCGCAUGAGAUCUACGGAUGAAAGCAGGGGAUCGAAAGACCUUGUGCUACUAGAGCGGCCGAUGGCAGAUUAGGUAGUUGGUGGAAUAAAAGCUUACCAAGCCGACGAUCUGUAGCUGGUCUGAGAGGACGAUCAGCCACACUGGGACUGAGACACGGCCCAGACUCCUACGGGAGGCAGCAGUGGGGAAUUUUGGACAAUGGGCGAAAGCCUGAUCCAGCAAUGCCGCGUGCAGGAUGAAGGCCUUCGGGUUGUAAACUGCCUUUGUACGGAACGAAAAGCCCUGGGUUAAUACCCUGGGGUCAUGACGGUACCGUAAGAAUAAGCACCGGCUAACUACGUGCCAGCCGCCGCCGUAA
rnacentral:rRNA from 1 species